AAAGAGUUUGAAUCUGAAAGAAAGAAACAAAGAAAGAGACACUUUAUAACAAUAUACUUGGUCAGAAACAUCCUAACCAGAGGUCUUGGAGCAUAAUGGAAGGAAUCAACUGAGUUGGAGUGAGACAAUGCAGUGGAGGAGGAUUGAGAUUCAUAAAUAGCCAAAAUGGAUAGAAUGCUCACAAGAUGGGAAAAGAUUGUCAGAAAACAGGAGAGCUUUAAGUGUAUGCCGAAAAAGAGUCAUCAGUAAAGCAUGAACAAAACGAUGCCCAACAAAUGAGAGGAAUCAAGAUUUUCAAGAUUUUCCUUAUGGUGGGCUUUGUUUACCUUCAAUUUGUCAGGAAUAAAUAUAAAAAGAACAAUUACAUAUUUUUGUCACACAGCCAAAAAGUAGAGGUAACUCCACUUUGCAUGAUUUAUGAAGAUAUUUUAUUUGUUUUAUUUCAAACAAGAGCUUUCUUUCCAAGGAGAUUUUAACUUAAGUAUUACAGUAAUAAUGAUGAUAAUAAUGAUAAUCAUACCUUUCAUUUAUAACACCUUUUCCUCCCCAAACAAUUUCAUUUAUGCUGUCUCAUUUCAUCCUCAUAACCCUGUGAGUGAAGUAAGGCUUAUUUCCCCUGCUCAUUUUACAAAUAGAUAUACUAAAGUACAAAAAAGG